rnacentral:rRNA from 16 species
UGCAUGUGUAAGUAUAAAUAAUUUUACUUUGAAACUGCGAAUGGCUCAUUAUAUCAGUUAUAGUUUAUUAGAAAUACUUUACUACUUGGAUAACCGUAGUAAUUCUAGGGCUAAUACAUGACUAAAUCCUCAACUUCGGAAGAGGUGUGUUUAUUAGUAUGAAAACCAUAUAUCUUCGGAUAUAAUAGUGAGUAAUAAUAACCUUUCGUAUCGUAUGUCGUAAGAUAACGAUAGUUCUUUCAAGUUUCUGCCCUAUCAGCUUUCGAUGGUAGUAUAUGGGACUACCAUGGCAGUAACGGGUAACGAAGAAUUUGGGUUCGAUUUCGGAGAGGGAGCCUGAGAGAUGGCUACCACAUCCAAGGAAGGCAGCAGGCGCGUAAAUUACCCAAUCCUGACAUAGGGAGGUAGUGACAAUAAAUCACAAUGCGGAACUAUUUAGUUUUGCAAUUGGAUUGAGAACAAUGUACAAAUGUUAUCGAUAAACAAUUGGAGGGCAAGUCUGG